rnacentral:tRNA from 1 species
GGGGUUGUGGCUCAGUGGUAGAGUGCUCACCUAGCAUGUACAGGGAGGGCCUUGGGUUCGAUCCUCAGCACCACA